GACGAACGCUGGCGGCGUGCUUAACACAUGCAAGUCGAACGGAAAGACCCUGCUUUUGUCUGUUGCUCGAGGGGCGGACGGGUGAGUAACACGUGAGUAACCUGCCCUUGACUUUGGGGUAACUUCAGGAAACUGGGGCUAAUACCUGAUAGGAGCUCCUGCGGCAUGGUGGGGGUUGGAAAGUUUCGGCGGUUGGAGAUGGACUGGCGGCUUAUCGGCUUGUUGGUGGGGUAGUUGCUUACCAAGUGUGCGACGGGUAGCCGGCAUGAGAGGGUGAACGGGGACCUUGCGCCUGCGAUAGGGACCAGAAUGGAAUGGUGGGCAGUAGUCGGGAGUCUUACACAGCGAGGCCACGUGUGAUACAAAAGCCUUGGGUUCGUGAUGCCGUCUUUUGGGUUAUAAACAGCUUUCGACUGAGACGAAGCGUGAGUGACGGUAACGGAUAAAGAAGCACCGGCUAACUACGUG
rnacentral:rRNA from 1 species